UUUAAGUGCAGCUAUGAUUUUCCGUGCACAACUUUGAUCGUUCGUCUUAUUUGAUUUUUUUUAAAAAAAUAAAAACAUAAGUCACAUAUAAAGUACUAUUCAUGUCUUAUAAUCUCAUAAUAAUAAAAAUACUAAGUAUAAAAAAAUUCAAAUAAGACGAACGAUCAAAAUUGGGCACGAAAACUUAUGGUUGCACUUAAA
rnacentral:pre_miRNA from 1 species